rnacentral:rRNA from 1 species
CACGGGGGGAGCGAACGUUGUUCGGAAUCACUGGGCGUAAAGGGCGUGUAGGCGGUUCGGUAAGUGGAAUGUGAAAGCCCCCGGCUUACCCGGGGAACUGCAUCCCAUACUGCUGGACUUGAGUGCGGGAGAGGAUGAGGGAAUUCCUGGUGUAGCGGUGAAAUGCGUAGAUAUCAGGAGGAACACCUGUGGCGAAGGCGCUCAUCUGGCCCGUUACUGACGCUGAGGCGCGAAAGCUAGGGGAGCAAACGGG